UACGAAGGGGGCUAGCGUUGCUCGGAAUUACUGGGCGUAAAGCGCACGUAGGCGGUCUUUAAGUCGGGGGUGAAAUCCUGGAGCUCAACUCCAGAACUGCCCUUCGAUACUGGAAGACUUGAGUCCGGGAGAGGUGAGUGGAACUGCGAGUGUAGAGGUGAAAUUCGUAGAUAUUCGUCAAGAACACCAGUGGCGAAGGCGGCUUGCCAGAACGCGCUCGACGGGUGAGGGAGUGAAAGCUGGGGGAAGCAAACCGGGAUUAGAAACCCAUAG
rnacentral:rRNA from 1 species